GUCGAGCGGACCGACGGGAGCUUGCUCCCUUAGGUCAGCGGCGGACGGCCGAUUAACACGUGGGUAACCUGCCUGUAAGACUGGGAUAACUCCGGGAAACCGGGGCUAAUACCGGAUGCUUGAUUGAACCGCAUGGUUCAAUCAUAAAAGGUGGCUUUUAGCUACCACUUGCAGAUGGACCCGCGGCGCAUUAGCUAGUUGGUGAGGUAACGGCUCACCAAGGCGACGAUGCGUAGCCGACCUGAGAGGGUGAUCGGCCACACUGGGACUGAGACACGGCCCAGACUCCUACGGGAGGCAGCAGUAGGGAAUCUUCCGCAAUGGACGAAAGUCUGACGGAGCAACGCCGCGUGAGUGAUGAAGGUUUUCGGAUCGUAAAACUCUGUUGUUAGGGAAGAACAAGUACCGUUCGAAUAGGGCGGCACCUUGACGGUACCUAACCAGAAAGCCACGGCUAACUACGUGCCAGCAGCCGCGGUAAUACGUAGGUGGCAAGCGUUGUCCGGAAUUAUUGGGCGUAAAGCGCGCGCAGGCGGUUUCUUAAGUCUGAUGUGAAAGCCCCCGGCUCAACCGGGGAGGGUCAUUGGAAACUGGGGAACUUGAGUGCAGAAGAGGAGAGUGGAAUUCCACGUGUAGCGGUGAAAUGCGUAGAGAUGUGGAGGAACACCAGUGGCGAAGGCGACUCUCUGGUCUGUAACUGACGCUGAGGCGCGAAAGCGUGGGGAGCGAACAGGAUUAGAUACCCUGGUAGUCCACGCCGUAAACGAUGAGUGCUAAGUGUUAGAGGGUUUCCGCCCUUUAGUGCUGCAGCAAACGCAUUAAGCACUCCGCCUGGGGAGUACGGUCGCAAGACUGAAACUCAAAGGAAUUGACGGGGGCCCGCACAAGCGGUGGAGCAUGUGGUUUAAUUCGAAGCAACGCGAAGAACCUUACCAGGUCUUGACAUCCUCUGACAACCCUAGAGAUAGGGCUUCCCCUUCGGGGGCAGAGUGACAGGUGGUGCAUGGUUGUCGUCAGCUCGUGUCGUGAGAUGUUGGGUUAAGUCCCGCAACGAGCGCAACCCUUGAUCUUAGUUGCCAGCAUUCAGUUGGGCACUCUAAGGUGACUGCCGGUGACAAACCGG
rnacentral:rRNA from 1 species